GAUGAAAGAGGGUGGCGUGCUUAACACAUGCAAGUCGAACGAAGCACUUUAUUUGAUUUCCUUCGGGACUGAUUAUUUUGUGACUGAGUGGCGGACGGGUGAGUAACGCGUGGGUAACCUGCCUUGUACAGGGGGAUAACAGUUGGAAACGGCUGCUAAUACCGCAUAAGCGCACGGCAUCGCAUGAUGCAGUGUGAAAAACUCCGGUGGUAUAAGAUGGACCCGCGUUGGAUUAGCUAGUUGGUGAGGUAACGGCCCACCAAGGCGACGAUCCAUAGCCGACCUGAGAGGGUGACCGGCCACAUUGGGACUGAGACACGGCCCAAACUCCUACGGGAGGCAGCAGUGGGGAAUAUUGCACAAUGGGCGAAAGCCUGAUGCAGCGACGCCGCGUGAGCGAAGAAGUAUUUCGGUAUGUAAAGCUCUAUCAGCAGGGAAGAUAAUGACGGUACCUGACUAAGAAGCACCGGCUAAAUACGUG
rnacentral:rRNA from 1 species